rnacentral:rRNA from 1 species
AACGAACGCUGGCGGCAUGCCUAACACAUGCAAGUCGAACGAGACCUUCGGGUCUAGUGGCGCACGGGUGCGUAACGCGUGGGAACCUGCCCUUAGGUUCGGAAUAACUCCCCGAAAGGGGUGCUAAUACCGGAUAAUGUCUUCGGACCAAAGAUUUAUCGCCUUUGGAUGGGCCCGCGUUGGAUUUGCUAGUUGGUAGGGUAAAAGCCUACCAAGGCGACGAUCCAUAGCUGGUCUGAGAGGAUGUUCAGCCACACUGGGACUGAGACACGGCCCAGACUCCUACGGGAGGCAGCAGUGGGGAAUAUUGGACAAUGGGCGAAAGCCUGAUCCAGCAAUGCCGCGUGAGUGAUGAAGGCCUUAGGGUUGUAAAGCUCUUUUACCCGGGAUGAUAAUGACAGUACCGGGAGAAUAAGCUCCGGCUAACUCCGUG